CCUUAACCUGCUAAAUAGUGGCGCGAACCUUGCGUUUGCAGUUACUUCUUAGAGGGACUGACUACGUUUAGUGGUCGGAAGUUUGAGGCAAUAACAGGUCUGUGAUGCCCUUAGAUGUUCUGGGCUGCACGCGCGCUACACUGACAAAGUCAGCAAGUAUACAACCUUGACCGGAAGGUCUGGGCAAUCUUUUGAAACUUUGUCGUGCUGGGGAUAGACCAUUGCAAUUAUUGGUCUUCAACGAGGAAUUCCUAGUAAGCGCAAGUCAUCAGCUUGCGUUGAUUACGUCCCUGCCCUUUGUACACACCGCCCGUCGCUACUACCGAUUGAAUGGCUUAGUGAGGCCUCCGGAUUGAGUGUGACGCCGCAAGGUGUUGCAUUUGAAAAGUUGGUCAAACUUGGUCAUUUAGAGGAAGUAAAAGUCG
rnacentral:rRNA from 1 species